AUUGAACGCUGGCGGCAGGCCUAACACAUGCAAGUCGAACGGUAACACGAAGCAGCUUGCUGCUUCGCUGACGAGUGGCGGACGGGUGAGAAAUGUCUGGGAAGCUGCCUGAUGUAGGGGGAUAACUACUGGAAACGGUAGCUACUACCGCAGAAUUCCGCAAGCCCAAAGAGGGGGAGCUUCGGGCCUCUUGCCAUCGGAUGUGCCCAGAUGGGAUUAGCUUGUUGGUGGGGUUACCGCUCCCCAAGGCGACGAUCCCUAGCUGGUCUGAGAGGAUGACCAGCCACACUGGAACUGAGACACGGUCCAGACUCCUAAGGGAGGCAGCAGUGGGGAAUAGUGCACAAUGGGCGCAAGCCUGAUGCAGCCAUGCCGCGUGUAUGAAGAAGGCCUUCGGGUUGGAAAGUACUUUCAGCGGGGAGGAAGGGAGUAAGGUUAAUACCUUUGCUCAUUGACGUUACCCGCAGAAGAAGCACCGGCUAACUACGUG
rnacentral:rRNA from 1 species